rnacentral:lncRNA from 1 species
AAAUACAGGGAAAGGGGAUUUAGAGAUGUGGGGCUGGACUGAGAAAACAACAAAAAAGGGAAAAAAAACAGAGAGAAAAGGGAGGAGAGCUCAAAAAUUCAAGGCAGCUGUACCUUCUUCUUCAAACCUCCAUUAAAGAGCACUAAGUUCGUCUCAUUCACACAAUUUCAAUAGCGCCAAAGCCACCAAAAUCGUCAAACAUUACCCCAAACUUAACUGAAAAAUAAGAAAACAUAGCCAUGUGAUGGAUGUAAUUUAUUUAUAUAUUUUUAUAUGUAAAUAUUAAAUAUUUUAAAUAAAACAUGAAUAGAUAUAUUCGAUUCUCCUAUAUUUUCUGAUAAGUUUUGCAGAGGAAAUUUGAAUUGAGAAAAGAGUACUACAAACAAAACAAAGAGGAAAAAGAGCAAUGCACGUAUUAAACAAGAGUGAAUCAAAUUUUGAAGUCACAACUUCAAGACUCAAAGUUGCAACAUCAUCCCACUUGAAGUCACAACAUCAACUUUUGAAGUCACUCCAACUACAAUUUUCAUAGUUACAACUACAAUUUCUAUUGUUGCAACUAUGGAAAAUCUUAAGCAAAAAAACUCUAUAAAUAGAGAAUGCGUGUUGGAAAGAAAGAUGAAGUCUUACGAGAGAAAACUAUUCUUGGUCUCUAUUUGUCUUUAGUAAUUGCUACUAUUAGUCUUUCGUUUAGAGGAAUAAUAUUUCUUCAUAAGUUCUUUAUUCCUAAAUUAGUUUUUCUUACUUCAUAAUGGAGUAAUCUUUUUCAUUGAGAUAGUUGAUGAAACUUGAUAUAUAUAUAUAUAUAUA